rnacentral:rRNA from 1 species
CCUACGGGAGGCAGCAGUGAGGAAUAUUGGUCAAUGGCCGUAAGGCUGAACCAGCCAAGUCGCGUGAAGGAAGAAGGAUCUAUGGUUUGUAAACUUCUUUUAUAGGGGAAUAAAGGUAUCCACGUGUGGAUAUUUGCAUGUACCCUAUGAAUAAGCAUCGGCUAACUCCGUGCCAGCAGCCGCGGUAAUACGGAGGAUGCGAGCGUUAUCCGGGUUUAUUGGGUUUAAAGGGUGCGUAGGUUGUUUUUUAAGUCAGCGGUGAAAGUUUGUGGCUCAACCAUAAAAUUGCCGUUGAAACUGGAAGUCUUGCGUGUGUUUGAGGUAGGCGGACUGCGUGGUGUCGCGGUCAACUGCCUCGCUCUCACGCCGAACUCCGCUUGCAACGGCAGCUUACUAAGCCAUAACUGACACUGCCGCACUAACGCGUGGGUCUCAAACCGGCUUCUCUACCCAGUAGUC